rnacentral:rRNA from 1 species
AUGAACGCUAGCGACAGGCUUAACACAUGCAAGUCGAGGGGCAUCAUGAGGUAGCAAUACCUUGAUGGCGACCGGCGCACGGGUGAGUAACGCGUAUGCAACCUGCCUGAUACCGGGGUAUAGCCCAUGGAAACGUGGAUUAACACCCCAUAGUACUUUUAUCCUGCAUGGGAUGUGAGUUAAAUGUUCAAGGUAUCGGAUGGGCAUGCGUCCUAUUAGUUAGUUGGCGGGGUAACAGCCCACCAAGACGAUGAUAGGUAGGGGUUCUGAGAGGAAGGUCCCCCACAUUGGAACUGAGACACGGUCCAAACUCCUACGGGAGGCAGCAGUGAGGAAUAUUGGUCAAUGGACGAGAGUCUGAACCAGCCAAGUCGCGUGAGGGAAGACUGCCCUAUGGGUUGUAAACCUCUUUUAUAAGGGAAGAAUAAGUUCUACGUGUAGAAUGAUGCCUGUACCUUAUGAAUAAGCAUCGGCUAACUCCGUGCCAGCAGCCGCGGUAAUACGGAGGAUGCGAGCGUUAUCCGGAUUUAUUGGGUUUAAAGGGUGCGUAGGCGGUUUAUUAAGUUAGUGGUUAAAUAUUUGAGCUAAACUCAAUUGUGCCAUUAAUACUGGUAAACUGGAGUACAGACGAGGUAGGCGGAAUAAGUUAAGUAGCGGUGAAAUGCAUAGAUAUAACUUAGAACUCCGAUAGCGAAGGCAGCUUACCAGACUGUAACUGACGCUGAUGCACGAGAGCGUGGGUAGCGAACAGGAUUAGAUACCCUGGUAGUCCACGCCGUAAACGAUGCUCACUGGUUCUGUGCGAUAUAUUGUACGGGAUUAAGCGAAAGUAUUAAGUGAGCCACCUGGGGAGUACGUCGGCAACGAUGAAACUCAAAGGAAUUGACGGGGGCCCGCACAAGCAGUGGAGUAUGUGGUUUAAUUCGACGCAACGCGAAGAACCUUACCAGGGCUUGACAUAUAGAGGAAUAAGCUAGAGAUAGUUUAGCUCUUCGGAGUCUCUAUACAGGUGGUGCAUGGUUGUCGUCAGCUCGUGUCGUGAGAUGUUGGGUUAAGUCCCGCAACGAGCGCAACCCCUGUACUUAGUUGCCAGCAUGUAGAGAUGGGAACUCUAAGUAGACUGCCGCGAAUAACGCGGAGGAAGGUGGGGAUGACGUCAAAUCAUCAUGCCCCUUAUGAUUUGGGCUACACACGUGCUACAAUGGCGUAAACAAAGGGAAGCGAGAUUGUGAGAUGGAGCAAAUCCCAAAAAUAACGUCCCAGUUCGGACUGUAGUCUGCAACCCGACUACACGAAGCUGGAAUCGCUAGUAAUCGCGGAUCAGCACGCCGCGGUGAAUACGUUCCCGGGCCUUGUACACACCGCCCGUCACACCAUGAGAGUUUGUAACACCCGAAGCCGGUGGCGUAACCCUUUUAGGGAGCGAGCCGUCUAAGGUGGGACAAAUGAUUAGGGUG